CCUGGUUGAUCCUGCCAGUAGUCAUAUGCUUGUCUCAAAGAUUAAGCCAUGCAUGUCUAAGUAUGAACUAAUUCAAACUGUGAAACUGCAGAUGGCUCAUUAAAUCAGUUAUAGUUUUUUUGAUGGUACCAUACUACUCAAAUAACCAUAGUAAUUCUAGAGAUAAUACGUGCACCAAGUCCCGACUCUUUGGAAGGGAUGCAUUUUUUAGAUAAAAGGCCGGCGCGGGCUUGCCCGCUUCUCCAGUGAAUCAUGAUAACUCGACGGAUCGCACAACCCUUGUACUAGCGAUGCUUCAUUCAAAUUUCUGCCCUAUCAACCUUCGAUGGUAGGAUAGAGGCCUACCAUGGUGGUGACGGGAGACAGAGAAUUAGGGUUCGAUUCCGGAGAGGGAGCCUGAGAAACGGCUACCACAUCCAAGGAAGGCAGCAGGCGCGCAAAUUACCCAAUCCUGACAUGGGGAGGUAGUGACAAUAAAUAACAAUACUGGGCUGAUCGAGUUUGGUAAUUGGUAUGAGUACAAUCUAAAUCCCUUAACAAGGAUCCAUUAGAGGGCAAGUCUGGUGCCAGCAGUCGCGGUAAUUCCAGCUCCAAUAGUGUAUAUUUAAGUUGCUGCAGUUAAAAAGCUCAUAGUUGGAUCUUGGGUCGUAAAGGUCGGUCUGCCUACCCGGUGUGCACCUGCCCUUCCGUCCCUUUUGUCGGCGGCGUGCUCCUGACCUUAAUUGGCUAGGUCAUGGCUCCGGCGCUGUUACUUUGAAAAAAUUAGAGUGCUCAAAGAAAGCUUAUGCUCUGAAUACAUUAGCAUGGAAUAAUGUGAUAGGAGUCUGGUCCUAUUGUGUUGGCCUUCGGGACUGGAGUAAUGAUUAAUAGGGACUGACGGGGGCAAUCGUAUUUCAUUGUCAGAGGUGAAAUUCUUGGAUUUAUGAAAGAUGGACCACUACGAAAGCAUUUGCCAAGGAUGUUUUCAUUAAUCAAGAAUGAAAGUUGGGGGCUCGAAGACGAUCAGAUACUGUCCUAGUCUCAACCAUAAACGAUGCCGACCAGGGAUCGGCGGAUGUUGCUCUAAGGACUCCGCCAGCACCUUCUGAGAAAUCAGAGUGUUUGGGUUCCGGGGGGAGUAUGGUCGCAAGGCUGAAACUUAAAGGAAUUGACGGAAGGGCACCACCAGGAGUGGAGCAUGCGGCUUAAUUUGACUCAACACGGGGAAACUUACCAGGUCCNNNNNNNNNNAGUUUUCAAGGCAAAAGCACUAUUUCCUCUCCCAAAUCACAAAUGGUAAAAAUGAAUUGUAAAAACCCCUUUUUAUAAGUUUUUUGAGUAAAUGAAUUCCAAAUUUGUUUAUGUUUCACUUUAAAAAGGUAUUAUUUCGACAUUUUUAUCUCUUUCAAGCAGGUAUGAGUAAUGUUCAUGUUUUGUGCAAGAUAACAGGAUUAUUCAGGCAAAAUCGAUCAUUUUAACCCAGAGUCACCUUUUAAGCCCUUUUCUGACUCCUAAAACAUGAAAAGAUUGUCGAGUUUUUCUUUUAAACUCGUUAAAACGGAAUUAAAAGAUGGUCGAUUUACAACUCUUUUUCGACCGUAAAAACAUAAAAAGAUCACCGGAUUUUUGUCGUUUCAAAUUCGAUAU
rnacentral:rRNA from 1 species